rnacentral:tRNA from 1 species
GAUUGAAUAGUCCAGUUGGUAGAACAUCAAUCAGACUUUUAUUCUGAGGGUCAGGGUUCACAUCCCUGUUUGCUUA